rnacentral:lncRNA from 10 species
CUUUUAAAUGCUUAAGUGAGCCCAGUUACCAAUCAAUACUACUGACAACAGGAAGAGGAAAAGAAGGAAGAAUCAGCGAUACAAAGAGCACAAAGUCAAAAUGAGUCCAACCACUGGACAUGGGUGUCACUGGCAGAAACUUCCAGAAGCUUGGUUCAACAUUACCUGCCACAGGCUCAACCUUAAGGCUUUGAGCUGAUACAAGAACUCCAAGAAUUGUUUCCUGGCACAAUUUCACUCAUUUGCCAAGUUCUACAGCGUGGGAACCUGCAAAGCCUCCCCAUCUCAUCACCACUACGUGACCCAUUCGUUCCACACUGGCCUACGGGGCGUCCAUCCAGGGAGGCGUGUAGCUGUGGCCAGGAUGCAGCAGAGGACAUCUCGGAGUCCCUGCCCUCAUGGGCUCCUGGGACUGUGAAGGGGACAGUCAACAAACAGAAGAGUGCUGGGAGUGUCAAGAGGUGAUGAUCGCCCAGAGGAAAAGACAAGGAGAUAAAGAUAAUGAAAGAAAGGAGCCUUGAGGACAGUAAUUGCCAAACCAUACUGCUGAGUUCAAUGCCUGGGUGACAGACAUUUUACCUGCAAAACACAUAAGGUUUUCCUUCUUAGUAAACUCAUGCAGGCUUUACUAUUAAAACACAGAAGCACUAUCGCAGGAAGGACAUUGACAUAAAGUGCUUUCAGGGCCCUUGAAGCACGGACUUUAAUCAAUUUUCCUGUGUCUACUGAAGGAGGCUUCAGCUCUUUGGUUUAAAAUAACCCAGUGGAUGGCCCUUAAUUUCAGAAAUUGUUCUAUGCAGUUUUUUUCUCAGCAGGAUGCAGAAAGCAAUCCCCACUGUGGCUGAGAGGAGAGCGGGCCUGGUGGGCUCCACUCAGUGGCAGCCAGUGGUCACUUCUGGAUCGGUUCCUGGCUGGGGUCCAUUGUCCUGACCUGCUGGUCCCACACCCCACAGAGGAAAGUUGCUAUUAAUACCCUCUUCAGGUCCCUGCAGGAAGCUCGGCCUUCUCCAGAUGCCACUUAGGAGUCAAUCCUUGUUCCAAAGAAAGAGAGCAUAGAAUGCAAACUUGUGUCAGGUUGAAGAGGCUGGGGACAGGGGCAUCCCAGGCUGCUCAUCCACAGGUCAUCGUCACUCGGCUCCUAAAGAGUACAUCGUCGUGGAGGAAGGACAGACAGAAAACAUGAUCUGCUGGCUCCAGACCCACACCUCGCUGGCCCCUCUGGCCUCUCCCAUCACUCACCUGCAGGGCAACCGCCUCCAGCCCUCACCUGCAUUCCUGGGAUUCCUGCAGCUACAUCCUCCCUGGUCUCCCAGCUCUGCUCUUUUGAGCCUCCACAUGGGGCCCAGAGAUAUUCUUUCAUGAAGUGAGUCAGGUGGGAACCACCCAAAUGUCUGUCACCUGAUGCAUGGAGAAAUAAAUUGUUGUCUGUCCACGUGAUGGACUAUUCCUCAGCCAUGGCAAGGGAUGAAGUGCUGGCCCACACUCCGACGUGGAUGAACUGAAAACAUUCUGCUGAGGGAAAGAAACCAUCACAAAAGGCUUGUAGGAUUCCAUAGAUAUGAAAUACCCAGAAUAGGCGAAUCCACAGACACAGAAAGUGGUUGUCAGGGGCUGGGGGGAGGGAGGACGUGGCGUGACUGUGCAUAGACUAAGAGUCUCUUUUUGGGGUGAUGAAAGUGAGCCUGUUUUGGGGGUGAUGAAGUUCUGGAAUUAGAAAGUGGUGAUGGCUGCACAACGUUGUGAAUCUACUGAAUUAAACACUUUAAAAUCACUAAAAUGGUGAAUUUUAUCUUAUGUGCCUUUUAUACCAACUUUUAUUACUUUUUUGAGACAGAGUCUUACUUUGCUGCCCAGGCUGGAGUGCAGUGGCGUGAUCACAGCUCACGGCAGCAUCAACCUCCGGUGCUCAAGCGAUUCUCCCACCUCAGCCCCCUGAGUAGCUGGGACUACACGCGUACGCCAUCAUGCCUGGCUCAUUAUUUUAUUCUUUGUCGAGACGGGGUCUCUCUAUGUUGCCCAGGCUGCUCUCAAACUCCUGUCCUCAAACAAUCCUCCCACCUCAGCCUCCCAAAGUGAGAUUGCAAUCCAAUCCAAAGUUGGAUUGCAAGCAUGAGCGCCAAUUUUUUUUUAAAGUAAGCCAGAGCAUGACAACACCUAGCAUAAAACCGACCAGACCAGAGGCUCCCCCACCUCACCCUAAAGCCUCACCAUGACCUACGCGAUUCUCCCAGUGUGCUCUCAUGCCUGGCCACUUCCCCGGCACCUCCUACCUCCACUGUUCUGUCCCCAUGCUCUUCAGCCAUGCUGGCUUCCUUGCUGAACCUUGAACUGCCCAAAUACACUGCUGACUUGGGGUCUUGGCGUAAGCCAUUCCGUUUGCUAGAAACAUCUUCCCUGGGUCUUCCCACUGCUUCCUCACUCCAUCAGGCCUCAUCUCAGAAGCCACCUUCUCUCACACGCUGGGCUAAAAUGCCUCCCUCCCCUGGCCCACUGCUCUGCUGUCUGGCCUCCUUCCUUUUCUCUUGGCAACACCCCUCCUGAACUCAUACACUUGUUCACUAAUGUAUGUGGUUGUUUAGAGUCUGUCUCCUGCACAGCAGGUCAGCUCCGCGAGAGCAGGGACCAGGUCUGGUUUUGUCCACUGCAGUAUCUCAGUAACCAGGACAGUUCCUGGUACACAGUGCUGAAUAGAUCCAGUGACAUAGCAUCGUUUAUGUCUAAAUUAUUAGAAAACCAGGCCGGGUGCAGUGGCUCACACCUGUAAUCCCAACACUUUGGGAGGCUGAGGAGGGUGGAUCACCUGAGGUCAGGAGUUCAAGACCAGCCUGGCCAACAUGGUGAAACCCCGUCUCUACUAAAAAUACAAACAUUAGCCAGGCAUGGGGGUGGGUGCCUGUAGUUCCAGCUACUUGGGAGGCUGAGGCAGGAGAAUCACUUGAACUCGGGAGGCAGAGGUUGCAGUGAGCCAAGACAGCGCCAUUGCACUCCAGCCUGGGCGACAGAGCGAGACUCCGUCUCAAAAAUAACAUAAAAUAAAAUAAUAAAUAAAUUAUUAGAAAACCAUAUUUAUUUUGAGUAUUGAUAUUAUCAAGUAAGAUCAUUUGUACCACCUACUACAAGAGACUCAUAGACACAAUGUUAUGGGGUUUAAAUAAAGGAAAAGCUUUUCUACCUUGGCAUGAGGGGGGCUCAGGGUAGAAUGGAAGCCAAGGUGUGUGGCUAGGUAGUCCCUGGGCUGGGGCAGGACACAAGAAGGAAUUCAUUCGCUCAGGCAGCAAGGGAGCGUGAUGCUUCCCUGUGCCCUUGCUGACCCUCAUGAUCGUCUUUAAAGCUGACCAAUUAUAUUAGGUGACAGUGGCAUUUUGUAUUAAUUAACGCUUCUUUGAUUGUUAGUGAGGUUGACUGUUUUUCACAUGUAUAUAUUAAUCAUUUCUAUUCAUUCUUAUAGUUAUCUGUAAUUGUGUUCAUUGCCCAUUUUUCCACUGGAUGUUUGCAGUUUGUUAAUUUGUUGAAAGUGUUCCUUAUUAAGACACUGAUGCUUACACACACAUUUAUAUACACGUGAUACAAAUAUAUAGCAUAUAUAGCAAAUUGAAAUUUCUGGUUUAUUAUUUACCUUUUCAUUUUAACAUCAUCUUUAGAUAUGUAGUCAAAUUCUUU